GCCUGGAUAGCUCAGUUGGUUCGAGUGUGGUGCUGAUAAUGCCAAGGUUUCAGGUUUGAUUCCUGUAUGUAUGGGAUGGCU